rnacentral:rRNA from 1 species
GGCCGCGGGAAUUCGAUUAGAGUUUGAUCCUGGCUCAGAACAAACGCUGGCGGCGUGCCUAACACAUGCAAGUCGUACGAGAAAGUCGGCUUCGGCCGAUGAGUACAGUGGCGCACGGGUGAGUAACGCGUGGGUAAUCUGCCCCCCGGUCAGGAAUAACCCGCCGAAAGGCGGGCUAAUACCCGAUAACACUGACGCUCUGCGGAGUGUCUUUCAAAGAAGGCCUCUGUUUACAAGCUUUCGCCGGAGGAUGAGCCCGCGUACCAUUAGCUAGUUGGCAGGGUAAUGGCCUACCAAGGCAACGAUGGUUAGCUGGUCUGAGAGGAUGGCCAGCCACACUGGAACUGAGACACGGUCCAGACUCCUACGGGAGGCAGCAGUGGGGAAUCUUCCGCAAUGGGCGAAAGCCUGACGGAGCAACGCCGCGUGAGUGAUGAAGGCCUUUGGGUCGUAAAACUCUGUCUUCAGGGAAGAAACAAAUGACGGUACCUGAGGAGG